rnacentral:rRNA from 1 species
UUGGAGGGCAAGUCUGGUGCCAGCAGCCGCGGUAAUUCCAGCUCCAAUAGCGUAUAUUAAAGUUGCUGCAGUUAAAAAGCUCGUAGUUGAAUUUCGGGACCAUCAUGUCGGUCGUGCCUCGGUACGUACUGGCAUUGUUGGUUUCUCCCUUCUGACGAACCAUGAUGUCAUUUAUUUGGUGUUGUGGGGAAUCAGGACUGUUACUUUGAAAAAAUUAGAGUGUUUAAAGCAGGCUCACGCUUGAAUACAUUAGCAUGGAAUAAUGAAAUAGGACGUUUGAUUCUAUUUUGUUGGUUUCUAGGAUCGACGUAAUGAUUAAUAGGGAUAGUUGGGGGCAUUAGUAUUCAAUUGUCAGAGGUGAAAUUCUUGGAUUUAUUGAAGACUAACUACUGCGAAAGCAUUUGCCAAGGAUGUUUUCAUUAAUCAAGAACGAAAGUUAGGGGAUCGAAGACGAUCAGAUACCGUCGUAGUCUUAACCAUAAACUAUGCCGACUAGGGAUCGGAUGAUGUUAAUUUUUUAAUGACUCAUUCGGCGCCUUACGGGAAACCAAAGUGUUUGGGUUC